GGGGUUGUGGCUCAGCUGUAGAGCGCCCGCCUAGCAUAUGGGAGGCCCUGGGUUCAAUCCUCAGCACCACA
rnacentral:tRNA from 1 species